rnacentral:lncRNA from 1 species
UUUUCUUAAACUCAACUUUGCUUUUUCUUCAUUAAGUUAAGGGUAGGUAACAUGAGUCCCUCUUGCCCUUUGCUAUUAGAAUCUGGCAUCAGGAGCAACUGUUGCUGUUUCUGGUUUUCGUCCAAAACUUCCCUUUCUGGGAUGGAAGUCAUAUUGAUUCCAGGGUGUGUUAUUUAGUUGAGCAGUAUCAGUAAAUUCACUGACUCACCUUCCUGUUCAAUGAAUACCUAACCAUGUUAUGUUAUAUUCGUGUCUGGAAUGCCAGUCCUAAAACAGAUUGAGGGGAGGAAAGAGGGUACUUAGACCAUACUUUGAAUAAAAGACAUUUUGAGGGUUGUCCCCCCCACCCUUAAAAACAAAAGCCAGCUACUUAGUACCGGAUGUUUUCAUUGUACUUUUUGAAAAAUUGCUUUGGUCAUUGUGUUCAUUAUUCCUGAAAUAGUAUUCUGUCCUAGUCCCUAAAGAUAGUUUUAUGUGCUAACUUUUGUUUUACCUUUCUAGCUACUAAAGUAGAUAAUGGUUAUUACACACGGCACGUUUUUAAAUGGUCUCCAGUGUGGACUGUUCAGCCAGUGAUGGAGUGAGUACAUUGAGGAAGAAGGUGUCAUUUGGAAUCCAGAACCAUUCCACAAGGAUGACUACCUGAUACAUGGUCAGAAUGCUCAAACUGAUGGCAUACCGAUGGCUUUCUCUUCCAGUCCCCUAAAAAAGUGUUGUCAGCCUGAGUUCCCCUGAUCUACCUACUCUCAUUUCCAUUCCCAAA